CCCUUAGAUGUUCUGGGCUGCACGCGUGCUACACUGAUUACUUCAACAAGUGUUUUAACUGGAGAGUUUGCGUAAUCCUGAAAUGUUAUCGUGAUGGGAGUAGAGUAUUGUAUUUGUUAAUCUUUAACGAGGAAUUCCUAGUAAGUGUAGGUUUAUAAGUUGUUCUGAUUACGUCCCUGCCCUUUGUACACACCGCCCGUCGCUCCUACCGAUUGAUUGAUCCGGUGAAUAAUUCGGACCGAUGCAGUGCUCAGCUUCUGAACUUUGCAUUGGAAAGUUUAGUGAACCUUAUCACUUAGAGGAAGGAGAAGUCGUAACA
rnacentral:rRNA from 1 species